rnacentral:lncRNA from 1 species
GGUGCUCAGAACAUAGUAGGUCCUUGGCACGUGGCAGGUCCUCAGGAAAGUGGCUGUCAGUGAAAGCAGAGUGAAGAACUAUUAGCAGUGACCUUGGACUCAAAGACAGAGGAAGCGUUCUCGUGAAAGAUGAAAUGGAGAAGGGGCCUUUCUAAGAGAAGAAAUCCUCACCUUCAUGCAAGGGCUGUGGCCUCAUCUCACCCCCUUCCCUCCCAGCUGGACUGGAAACCAGAUUGGGUUUCUUGUGAGGAUUAAACAGAAGAAUGUUUAUGAAGGUAAAUGGAGAAUAAAGUUAAAAGAAGAGAAAGGAUGGAUUUGCAACCUCUGGGCUUUAGUUCCGUCUUUUGAAGUUGGGAUCUACUCAGGUUUCUCAUCCUGAAGUCCACAUUUCACUGGGAAAUAGGAGGAGAGCUCACCCUGAAGGCCCCACCUGCUAGAGAUCUUCCGGAGGAACCUCUUAAAUACAUUCAAGAUGGC